rnacentral:rRNA from 1 species
UCCCAGCCGUAAACGAUGCGCGUUAGGUGUAUCGGUGACCACGAGUCACCGAGGUGCCGAAGGGAAACCGUGAAACGUGCCGCCUGGGAAGUACGGUCGCAAGGCUGAAACUUAAAGGAAUUGGCGGGGGAGCACCACAACAGGUGGAGCCUGCGGUUUAAUCGGACUCAACGCCGGGAAUCUCACCGGAUAAGACAGCUGGAUGAUAGCCGGGCUGAAGACUCUGCUUGACUAGCUGAGAGGAGGUGCAUGGCCGUCGUCAGUUCGUACUGUGAAGCAUCCUGUUAAGUCAGGCAACGAGCGAGACCCACGCCAACAGUUGCCAGCAUGUCCUCCGGGAUGGUGGGGACACUGUUGGGACCGCCUCUGCUA